rnacentral:sRNA from 1 species
UCUGAGGAAAUAGGAUUUAAAGGUCGGA